ACCUUGAUUGAAAUGCUCUGAUUAAAACCCUAAUGCUCUUUAGUUUUCUAAUUCCAUAUUUUUUUUUUGUUUUUUCUCCUAAUUUGUGGGAACAGAUAAAAAAGGCUGGAAAGCAAGCUGAUAUAUCUGAAUUUAAGCAGCAGCUGGAUGCUUUGGGCCUAAAAAUAAUUCAAGUCACUGCAGAUGGUAAUUGUUUCUUCAGUUGCUGUUUGGGCAGAGCAUUAGCGGAUCAAUUGGAAGGCAAUGAGGAAGAGCAUGAGAAAUAUCGGAAUAUGGUAGUCCGUUUUAUAAUGAAAAAUCGAGAAAUGUUCGAGCCUUUUAUUGAGGAUGAGGUACCAUUUGAUGAAUAUUGUCAGUCAAUGGAAAAGGAUGGGACUUGGGCAGGACAUAUGGAAUUGCAAGCUGCUUCGCUUGUCACUCAUUGUAAUAUAUGCAUUCACCGACAUAUUUCUCCUCGCUGGUACAUACAGAAUUUUGACAAUUGUGAAGCCAAAAUGAUCCAUCUUUCUUAUCAUGAUGGAGAGCAUUACAACAGUGUCAGAUCAAAGGAUGACACUUGUGCUGGACCAGCAAGGCCAAUUGUAAUCAAGGCUGAUGCUGAUCUUUCAGCGACAUCUCAUCACGCAAAAAGUGCCACCACGAAGUCAAUGGGAGACAUUGCUGGUAAUAAUGUUCAGCCAAGGUGUCUUAAAAUGGUCAUGACAGGAAGUGGAUGUGAAGAUGUUGAAAAGGUUAAAAAGGUUUUACAAGAAGUAGGUGGCGAUGAUGAUGCUGCAAUUGAGUAUCUAAUAGCUCAACAAAAUUCUGAAGAGAGUUUACAAGAAAAUGUUCAGCUUUAUAUUUCAGAAAACACUGUUCAUGGUGAGCAUGACAGUGAAAUACUUGAGCAGCAAAGCAUGCAAAAUGAAAAAAAGACAGGAAAUACACAAAUGACUCAGAUUGAGAAUAGCUUAUCGUUGGAUGACAAGAAAAUUCCAAGAAACAAGGCAUGCCCUUGUGGUUCAAAAAAGAAAUACAAGUCUUGCUGUGGAUCAGUUGCUGGAAAAUCUUCUGCUAGAUUUUCGGGAAAACAAUCAGUUGAUGAUGGCAAUGAUAGAAAAGACAAAAAGCAACGCAAGAAAGCACCAAAAAAUGUUUUGAAUCAUGAUCGAUCUGAAGGAGGGCUGCCUGAUAUGGGUGCACUUUGCAUAUGAGCUUCUUUUUUCAGGAGGGCUACCUGAUACGCGUGCACUUUGCAUAUGAGUUUCUUUUUCAGGUAUUUUGCCACUGCACUAUUUCUGUAUGAUUUAAUAGUGUCCAGUAACCUGUGUUGAAUAAUUCGAAGCGUUAGAGCUAAGCAUGCUGCUCAUGAAAAGAGUCCGUGUGCAUCCAGUUCCAAAUUUUUUGGAGUGUUGAUAUUUCUGAAUGUUAUUGAAGGAUGAUAAUUCCUGAGAGUAUCAUUUGUUCUAUCCAAGGUUCAUGAUGCGCUAAUUAAUUGGAAUAACUUGUAAUGCUUUGGGACCUCAGGACCAGUGAUAAUAAAGACUGAAUCUGGAUCACAAGUACCUUCGCUGGACAACAACGUAAGAAAGAGAUUGCUUAGCUGAUAGCGAGAUGUCUAUAGCAUUCCAGCCUUCAGAGGAAAAUGAAUCUAUCCCGCCAUUUGGCCCAAAUUCUGUUUUAUCCUGAUCUAGCCUUCUUCCCAAUGCCAAUAUCGCAUGAUUUUUUAUUUUUAUUUUUUUUGUGGAUUAUCUCACCUGGUAGAUUUCUUAUAUUCGUGAAACGACCUUCCCUCAUCGUUUCAUUUUCCAGGGGUAACAGAUGGUGUUGAAAUCUGAUGCACGGAGUUGAGGUGUACACUUCCUUUUGAGAAAUUUAUUAAACGCUUCUCUUUGCCCAUCUA